UUGGGUGACCAUCUGUCCUGGUUUGCCUGGGACUGAGGGGUUUCCUGGACACAGGAUUUUCAGUGUUCAA
rnacentral:miRNA from 1 species